UACGUAGGGGGCAAGCGUUGUCCGGAAUUAUUGGGCGUAAAGCGCGCGCAGGCGGCGACUUAAGUCUGGUGUUUAAACCUUGGGCUCAACCUGGGGUCGCACUGGAAACUGGGUGGCUUGAGUACAGAAGAGGAAAGUGGAAUUCCACGUGUAGCGGUGAAAUGCGUAGAGAUGUGGAGGAACACCAGUGGCGAAGGCGACUUUCUGGGCUGUAACUGACGCUGAGGCGCGAAAGCGUGGGGAGCAAACAGG
rnacentral:rRNA from 1 species